AAAAGAGAGAGAGACAGAGACAGAGAGAG
rnacentral:sRNA from 1 species